rnacentral:rRNA from 1 species
GACGAAGGGGGCUAGCGUUGCUCGGAAUCACUGGGCGUAAAGGGUGCGUAGGCGGUUGUUUAAGUCAGAGGUGAAAUCCUGGAGCUCAACUCCAGAACUGCCUUUGAUACUGAGGAUCUUGAGUAUGGGAGAGGUGAGUGGAACUGCGAGUGUAGAGGUGAAAUUCGUAGAUAUUCGCAAGAACACCAGUGGCGAAGGCGGCUCACUGGCCCAUUACUGACGCUGAGGCACGAAAGCGUGGGGAGCAAACAGG